GGCGACGUGGCCGAGUGGUUAGGCAGGGGCCUGCAAAGCCUCGUACACCGGUUCAAUUCCGGUCGUCGCCUCCA
rnacentral:tRNA from 1 species